AUUAAUGUAUUUUAUACCUUUAAAAUAGAAGAGGUAUUCUUUUGCGUCUCCUCAACGGUCAUACUGAAAAAAGAGUAAAAAUCGUACGUUUUGCUAUUUUUAUGAAAAUAUAUACCUAAAUCGCUUAAGUUAAUGAGAGUCACAUGUGCUUUGACUACUUUGAGUAAUAAAUUUUAAAAAAUUACGAUAUAAAGGUACAAAUUUUAGCAUUCAAAUUCAAAUUAAACACAACCUCAAAAAUUUAAAUGGCGUGGCUUUUACAAUAAUGUACAUACAUAUAUUUGUAUUAUGUAUAAAAAUCGCCCUUACCCCACAUAACAGAAAUAAUAUUCUCUUUUGAAUAAAUACAUAUGCAUGUAUGUACAUUUAUUAAUGCAUCUGACUAAAUUUACUAAUACGUAAAUAUAUUUUAUUUCUUUAUUUAAUUCAUUGUCUUUCGAAAUUUGCACAUCCAAAAAGAAAUAAAUAUUUUGAGGUACAAGCGUGUCCAGGGUUACUAUUUCAAAUGCUUAAUCACUGAAAUACUACCACACAUAAAAUUGUUCACAAUCAUUGCAUAUAUGCACUGAAUGUUACUUUAAAUAGGUGCGAUUGGCUUGCUCUUGAUUUGCACUUAUAAAUACCAAGUCAUCCUGCAAGUGACUUCAUAAAGGGAAACCGAGCUCAAUUACUUACGUGUUUUAAUCGUGAGCUGGCAUUCCACACCCCAAGGAGAGGAAAGACAAUAUCUUAUAUGACUUUUGAACGAUUAAGUGAUCAUUAAGAAUAAGACCGUGACCAAAUCUAAAUUUUCUGUGAAAGCGAAGGUACAAAAAGCGCUUUCAAGUAAAAGUAGACCAAGUGCAGCCACGGGAUCAAAUUUGAUGUGGUAUAACUUUUGGUUGAAUUUCGGUUCAAAAUUGCUUCCCAUUACACGAGAGCGUUUGCAGUUUAAGAAGGGCGGUAUUGAAAAGGAAGAAAAAGAACUGCAAGCCUUAUAAUUUGUAUAGUCUUUGUGUCCAUUUUUAUUCAAUGAACAACCUGCGAAAAAAAGCGCACCUCCAAUUCCACAAAAGCGAAGUAAAAGCUUUCAGCUGUGUAUGAAAAACCAGAGGCGAACUAUUAGUCACCGAAUGCAGAUAUGUAUGUGCAUACGUGAGCUGUUCAAUAAGUCCAUGAACUUUUGGAUGAUUUUGGUUUUUGGAUAAGCAAUCAUUUUAUUUUUCAACGUAGUCCUAUACAUAUGUCCACCGAUUCUACAAUCUUUAUAUCCCUUCCAAAAAUAUGAUUUGUCGAGGUCCUCAAAAUGGGAAUUUGUUUGUUUGGAAACAAGAAAAAGUCACUCGGGGCUAAAUCCGGAGAUAGGAGAUAUCCGGAAAAUCGCACUGAAAACCCCAGUCUUUGACUGCUGUUUGGUCUUUGGUGUGUGGUGGUGGAUCCACGUUUUACCCGUGGUUACGAAACGGCACAAAAAGUCGUCCUAAUUGUGGUUAAACAACGCAAAACACUCCCGCGAAGUUGUCACACGGUUGCGUUUGUGGCCGACCCAAGUGUUUAUUCAAAAUUAAAACCGUUAAGCCCAAUGAUAUGACUACGGCUUCCACAA